rnacentral:snoRNA from 1 species
GUGUCUUGUGAUGAAGCUUCGUAGGGCAGAUUCUGAGCUGAGAAAAGUAAUUUCUCGUCGCUGAUCUUUAGUCUAUGCAAUCUGAAGACAC